GGGCGCAUAGCUCAGCUGGUUCAGAGCACCUGCCUUACAAGCAGGGGGUCCUUGGUUCGAAUCCAUGUGCGCCCA
rnacentral:tRNA from 1 species